AGACGCAUUGAAGGAAAUUCAGAUGUCUGCAACGUCUUGUUCUUGUAGGAAGUCAACAGUUGCCGCUGCUUGCCGGAAUUGUCUGAUGAGAGAAGUUUCUACCCGUCUGAGAAACGCCAGGUACAAUUGUGCAGUCUGUAAAUCAAAAUGGAGAAGCUCCCCAGAUAUUCCAUCAGGUAAAUUAACAAGACACACACAUAUAUAUACAUAUAUAUAUAUAUGUAUAUGUAUAUAGUACCUGAAAUUUGAAGUAGUAUCAAUGGAGAAACUAAUGGAAAUAUAUUAUGUUCUGAAGGUGGGCAUACGUUUUUGGAUGUGGUGGAGAAUUCAAGUGGGAGAAGGGGAGAAGUGAGGGUGAUAAUAGAGUUGAGCUUCAGGGCAGAGUUUGAGAUGGCGAGAGCAAGUGAAGAAUACAACCGGCUAGUUGAUAGGCUGCCCGAAGUUUUCGUCGGAAAAGUUGACCGGCUGAAAAAUGUGAUAAAGGUAUUGUGUUUGGCGGCUAAGAAAUGCAUGAAGGAGAAGAAAAUGCACAUGGGUCCUUGGAGAAAACACAGGUACAUGCAAGCCAAGUGGCUAAGCAGUACAUGUGAGAGAAUUACAAGCAACACACAAGUUUUGGGGAGUAGUAAUGGUAUAAUUUCUGGUGAGCGAUUGCCAAAGCCAAGAGCUUCCAUGUUAACUGUAGAUUUGCUUGAUAAGUUGCCCAACAUGCAUUGUACAGCUGUUGAGGUUGUAUGAUAAUAUAUAUAUAUAUGUAUAUAUGUAUAUUGAAAGGAAGCAAUGCAGAACCGACUGGGUUUAGCUCAGAUUGGUUCUUGGAUGGCUUGUGUUCUAAUCUUUACAACAGGCCCUUCAAUGGCUAAAGAAAACAGGAAAAGAAAGUGAAACAGGCAGAAAGUUUUUGCAAAAGACAAGGAAACCCUAGAUGGUACACUUUAACCAUCCUUUUUCAAUCAAAUAUGGGAGCAUAUUCACAUCAACAAAGACAGGCCCAGAGAAGAAAAAAUUAGGUUCUUGCAAACCUAGGUUCAAGACUUGUUUGUAAUAAGAACAAAUUCCUCUUCCACUCGUAACAGAUAAAGAAACUAUUAAUUAUCAUAUCAUCCGAUCAAAUGUUCAUUGGAGUGAUAAUCUAACAAUGAAACCUCUGAUCUUAAUCCCCUUCAAUGCACAUCGAUACUGAAAUGGGUUCAAAAAUCCCAAAUGGUACAUACUAUAACAUAUACUACUAACUCCUAAGUACCCAAUUUUAGAACAGAAACUAAGAAACAAAUGAGAAGGCAAUGGGAAGUUUUUGUACAUCCCUAACUAGUUUCAAAUGCAGACUAAAACACAAUUUAUAUACACAAAUAUGGAAUCUCACAAGGAGAUUAGAUUACCCAAGUUCCUUUUCUUCUGUUCUUGCUUCUUCCUUUCUCUCCGUUACCCUCUUACUUUUCCCGCAUAACUCACUCUUUUUCUUCUGCCUCCAAGCUCAAAACUUAGAAAAAACAAGAAAGAAUGAAGAAAACAAAACCAGACACUUUUUCCCUCAGCUCAAAAAUCUUUCUCUCACUAUCCAUUGCUAUUAACCCAGAAUAUCAAAUAGAAGAAAGCGUCUUCCUUUUCCCCCCUCUCCUCAAACUCAGAAAAGGACCCUAGAAGCUUCCUUUCACUCCCUGUUUUCUCCAUAUACUCAAUCAAAGCCAUGAAUAAGAGCAUCCGGCUUCCAUCCCGCACAUUUGGCUUCUCCACCAGUAAAGAUUCUCAGUUUGUUCUCCCUCACCCGCUGAUUGCGCGAGCCACCAUCUCCCUUUUCCCUCUUCAUCCGUCAGCCUCGAUCCUCUACUUUGCACUUACCAUCUGCUUCCCCAUCUCCUUCUCUGCUACGCGGUUUCAGUUUCUUCACGUGUUCCUGCCUUCAUCACCAUCGAUCUUCAGCCUCGAGUCAAUCCGAUAUCCUCUUUCCUGCCAUUAGCAAAUUUCUCGGGAGCAAAACUGGUGCAUUUAGAGACACAGUAACGGCUGCGCAAAUUGGAUUUAUGCUGAGCUGCAAGAAAAACUAACAAAUGGGAUUGGCUUAGACGAAUUGGGUUGAGCUAAAUAAAAUUAAACGAACUGGGUUUUAUACUUCAAAUCGAAUUGGGUUUUGCUUUGAAAUGGUUUUAAAAAGAAAACGGACGAACUUUAGCUAGUUCUCUAAUUGGGUUUGAGAAUGUGAAUGUAGUGGAUUUUAGGGUUUGUAGUAUGUUAGAGACAUGGGCUUUCACAUAUGAAUUUGAACUGUGUGGUUGUGGGUUUUAU
rnacentral:lncRNA from 1 species